UGGGGAAUCUUGCACAAUGGGGGCAACCCUGAUGCAGCGACGCCGCGUGAGCGAUGAAGGUUUUCGAAUCGUAAAGCUCUGUCCUAUGGGAAGAUAAUGGCGGUACCAUAGGAGGAAGCCCCGGCUAACUACGUGCCAGCAGCCGCGGUAAUACGUAGGGGGCGAGCGUUGUCCGGAAUUACUGGGCGUAAAGGGUUCGCAGGCGGCAUGGCAAGUCCGAUGUAAAAGGCGAAGGCUCAACCUUCGUAAGCAUCGGAAACUGUCAAGCUUGAGUGAAGGAGAGGCAAGUGGAAUUCCUAGUGUAGCGGUGGAAUGCGUAGAUAUUAGGAGGAAUACCGGUGGCGAAGGCGACUUGCUGGACUUCAACUGACGCUGAGGAACGAAAGCGUGGGUAGCAAACAGG
rnacentral:rRNA from 1 species